CUGAAAAUAAUUGUGGUGCAGACAGCCUCUCUCUUCCCAUGGGUCUGUAAUAAUCAAAACAAUCUUUUGAAGCAAAUAGAACAAACUCAGAUUCUUUUUCCGUGUUGGAAUGGAGUUAUUUUCGUCAGCUUCCUCCAAUAUAAGACUUACUAAUAAGGAUUGCUUAGGCGCAGAGAACGCAGGCUGGCAUACUUUCUUCUGAGAUUUUCAGAGCACAUGCAGCACAGUGGGCUGCUUUCAUCCCAGGAAGGUGCCAGCCGUGGUGAUUGCUCUGAGGAAUGAAUGAGUGGUCUUCGCUAAUGAAGAUGGAGCCAUGUGCCAGACACUGGGUCUUAGUAUGUUGCCCACACUGGUCUCAAACUCCUGGACUCAAGCCGCAGCCUCCUGGACCCAGCUCAGCCUCCCAAAGUGCUGGGAUUACAGGUGUGAGCCACUGUGCCUGGCAAUAUAUCUGUUGUUUGUUUGUUUGUUUGUUUGUUGUUGUUUUUUGAGAUAGGGUCUCACUUUGUCACCCAGGCUGGAGUAGCUUGGCACGAUCCCGGUUUACUGCAGCCUCAACUUUCCCAGGCUUAGGUGAUUCUCCUGCCUCAGCCUCACGAGUAGCUGGGACUACAGGCCUGCGCCACCACGCCUGGCUAAUUUUUGUGUUUUUAGUAGAGAUGGGGUUUCACCAUGUUGGCCAAGCUGGUCUCUACUCCUGACCUCAAGUGAUC
rnacentral:lncRNA from 1 species